rnacentral:tRNA from 1 species
GGACGGUUAGCUCAGUUGGUUAGAGCGCUACGUUGACAUCGUAGAGGCCGCAGAUUCGAGCUCUGCACCGUCCA